rnacentral:rRNA from 1 species
ACGAACGCUGGCGGCGUGCUUAACACCUGCAGGUCGAACGGAAAGGCCCUGCUUUUGUGGGGUGCUCGAGUGGCGAACGGGUGAGUAACACGUGAGUAACCUGCCCUUGACUUUGGGAUAACUUCAGGAAACUGGGGCUAAUACCGGAUAGGAGCUCCUGCUGCAUGGUGGGGGUUGGAAAGUUUCGGCGGUUGGGGAUGGACUCGCGGCUUAUCAGCUUGUUGGUGGGGUAGUGGCUUACCAAGGCUUUGACGGGUAGCCGGCCUGAGAGGGUGACCGGCCACAUUGGGACUGAGAUACGGCCCAGACUCCUACGGGAGGCAGCAGUGGGGAAUAUUGCACAAUGGGCGGAAGCCUGAUGCAGCAACGCCGCGUGCGGGAUGACGGCCUUCGGGUUGUAAACCGCUUUCGCCUGUGACGAAGCGUGAGUGACGGUAAUGGGUAAAGAAGCACCGGCUAACUACGUG